rnacentral:rRNA from 1 species
GCUACCAUGCAGUCGAACGAUGAAGCCCUUCGGGGUGGAUUAGUGGCGAACGGGUGAGUAACACGUGGGCAAUCUGCCCUGCACUCUGGGACAAGCCCUGGAAACGGGGUCUAAUACCGGAUAUGACUGUCCACCGCAUGGUGGAUGGUGUAAAGCUCCGGCGGUGCAGGAUGAGCCCGCGGCCUAUCAGCUAGUUGGUGAGGUAGUGGCUCACCAAGGCGACGACGGGUAGCCGGCCUGAGAGGGCGACCGGCCACACUGGGACUGAGACACGGCCCAGACUCCUACGGGAGGCAGCAGUGGGGAAUAUUGCACAAUGGGCGAAAGCCUGAUGCAGCGACGCCGCGUGAGGGAUGACGGCCUUCGGGUUGUAAACCUCUUUCAGCAGGGAAGAAGCGAAAGUGACGGUACCUGCAGAAGAAGCGCCGGCUAACUACGUGCCAGCAGCCGCGGUAAUACGUAGGGCGCAAGCGUUGUCCGGAAUUAUUGGGCGUAAAGAGCUCGUAGGCGGCUUGUCACGUCGGUUGUGAAAGCCCGGGGCUUAACCCCGGGUCUGCAGUCGAUACGGGCAGGCUAGAGUUCGGUAGGGGAGAUCGGAAUUCCUGGUGUAGCGGUGAAAUGCGCAGAUAUCAGGAGGAACACCGGUGGCGAAGGCGGAUCUCUGGGCCGAUACUGACGCUGAGGAGCGAAAGCGUGGGGAGCGAACAGGAUUAGAUACCCUGGUAGUCCACGCCGUAAACGGUGGGCACUAGGUGUGGGCAACAUUCCACGUUGUCCGUGCCGCAGCUAACGCAUUAAGUGCCCCGCCUGGGGAGUACGGCCGCAAGGCUAAAACUCAAAGGAAUUGACGGGGCCCGC